rnacentral:tRNA from 1 species
GGGGAUUUAGCUUAGUGGCAAUAAGAACCUGCCUUGCAAGCAGGCGGUUGUAAGUUCGAUCCCCA